UUCUUGGCUUCUGUAAAUAAUGCUGUAAUGAACAUGGGAGUGCAGAUAUCUUUUCAAAUUAGUGUUUUUGUUUUCUUUGGAUAAAUAUCCAGCAGUGGAACUGCUCGUUCAUAUCCCUUUACGUGCUAAAAAGAGAAAUCUGGGUGGGGUGAGGACCCGUGCAACCUUCAUCAUGCUCCUGCAGCAACAGAGACCUUCAAACCAUCCACCCCACUGGAGCUCAUCAGAAAAUAACUUCCUACAGUAGACAGUGCUGGCAGCAUCUUUCUGCUGGCCACAGACUAUUCUGGGCAAUGUUUUGAAAAUGAAACUGAUUUAUUAAAAGCUUACAAGAAGAGGCAAAACACAAAAAACAAAAAAGGCCUGAGGUUGACUUGACUGCUUUGCUGUGGGGAGUGGCCCAAGAUCAUGAGGGCACGUUCAAGGCCCUGGGAUCCAGUGAUGAACAAACCCCCAGGAUCUCGGCUCUCAAGGAGCUUAUGGAGAGCUGGAGGAGACCGGGUCCUACUCACCGCGUGGCUCGCUGCUCUGCGUAAAUAAAUACUGGGAGAAAGUUUGGGGACGCGCCCUCCCAG